GCAGCCGCGGUAAGACGAACCGUCCGAACGUUAUUCGGUAUUACUGGGCUUAAAGAGUUCGUAGGCGGCUCUGUAGGUGAGAUGUGAAAGCCCUCGGCUCAACCGAGGAACAGCGUUUCAAACCACAGGGCUUGAGGAUGGCAGGGGUAGUGGGAACUGAUGGUGGAGCGGUGAAAUGCGUUGAUAUCAUCAGGAACACCGGUGGCGAAAGCGCACUACUGGGCCAUUUCUGACGCUGAGGAACGAAAGCUAGGGUAGCGAACGGG
rnacentral:rRNA from 1 species